GCGAUCAUAUCAGUACUAAUGCAUCGGAUCUCAUCAGAACUCUACAGUUAAAGGUGUUUAGGCGAGAAUAGUUCUAGGAUGGAUGAUCCUCUGAAAAGUUCUCGUGUUGCACUCC